UGAUUUUGUUGUUUGUUUAAAGUGUUCAAAGCCAAAGAAUGCAGCAAUAUCCCAAUGUAAUGAAUGAUCAAUUGCAAGUUCAGCAGUCCCAAAGAGUUCUGCGAUUUCCCAAACAAAGUAACCAAUGAAGUCAGUAACGCGGGAACUACUUCAGUAUCUGCAAGUGAAGAUGCUGAUACGAAAAUGCAAAGGAAUAUCUUUGCUUAGCUUUGAUUACAUGUUCAUAUAUAAUGUUAUAUUAUAUAAACUUCUAAUAGAUAUUCUCCCGUUAGAAAUAUCUCUUUGUACAAGUUUUUGAUUAUACAUGUUACCAAAUGAAGUUGUGUGCAAACUCCACAUGACGUCAUAGUUCAUUACUUAAUUAAAAUUGUUUGUUGUAAAUGUGUUGUAAAAUAUUCCUGUCAACCAAUUUGCGCGUUCUGGAAAUUAGUUCGUCGCUAUUUCCUAAUAUGACCUAAUAUGGUGUACUUGUAAAUUAUAUAAUUAAGCUUGUGUUACAUGUGAUUAAAUCAGCUCUGCCUUA